rnacentral:rRNA from 1 species
UACAGAGGGUGCGAGCGUUGUCCGGAAUCACUGGGCGUAAAGGGCGCGUAGGCGGUUUUGUAAGUCGGGGGUGAAAUGCUGCGGCUCAACCGCAGCGCUGCCCUUCGAGACUGCAAGACUGGGAGCACGGUAGAGGCGGAUGGAAUUCCCGGGUGUAGCGGUGGAAUGCGUAGAGAUCGGGAAGAACACCAAUGGCGAAGGCAGUCGCUGGGCCGUUGCUGACGCUGAG